rfam:Picoides pubescens contig2300, whole genome shotgun sequence.
GUGCUCACAUUGGUAGCACAUAUACUAAAUUUAGAGAGAUACAGAGCAGACUAGCAUGGCCCCUGUGCAAGGAUGACAUGCAUAUUCAUGAAACAUUUCACUACUUU